GUCCCUUGAGGUUAGCCCUGAAGAUUUCUUGUUGAGUACAACCUAGGUGUUUUAUGUUUUUGAUAGCUCUUUCCUCCCUACCAUGUUGGGGACUAAACUCAGGGUCUUACACUUACUAGGCCAGCAUUCUUUGCUCUUUUUCUUUUGAGGUAGGAUCUCAUGCAAACUAGACUGGCCUGAACCUUCCUGCAUAGCUGAGUUUGACCUUGAACUCCUAAUCCCUUACCUCAGGCUCCCAUGUUCUGGGAUUACUACACCAGUCUGCCUAGCUCUCUCCUUCCUCUUAUGACUGGAAUCUUCUCGUUAUAUUUCACAUUACUUUUGUCAAGGAACAAGAGAAAGAAAAUGAUAUUGUACAGUACUAUUGCCAUGAUGAGAAGACCACCACCCUCUCACACACAUAUGAACACAGACACAUGCAGGUUCAAAUACUGUUUCCAAACACACACUCGUGUGUUUCUGUUCUAAGCAGAAGGUAGCUUCCAGACCAAAAAACAAAACAAACAAAAAACAAACAAACAAAAAACAAACAAACAAAAAACCCCAAAGAGCAAAAUUAAAAAACAAUUAGAAUCAUUGAUACGUGCUUUAUUAAAUUUGGCACAUUUCACGACUAAAUUUGCUAGCUCUAUAUGCAGCUUCUUCGCGUCUGCUGCAGGUGAGAGCCCGCCUAUCACAGCCCUUGUAAGAGAUUUUGUUAGUUUUGCUGUGUCGGCCACACACAUUUCUACCCUUUUGAGAGUUUUGGAAUAAUUCAAAGAGGCAGAGCAAUCAGAUUACAUUUUCCUCAAAGGCUUGAAAACACAGCCCAAGUUGUGAGUUCGAACCAAGACUCUGGCUGUCUCACUUUUCUAAGAGAUGCAGAGCGGAGGUCAGCUUCUCUUAGAUGUGAAGGGUAGAAAAGCAUCUCAGAGUGGGGAGGAGGCCGGCCCAGUGAGCUCUGGAGUUGGGUUGGAGUCUGAUGCUACAGGACGACUUGGCUCUCCUCUGUGAAGAUCUCAUUUUAGUCUAUGAAGUGGGAAUAACCAUAGACCCUUCACACAUGGCUGGGUUGGAGCUGCUCUCAGUGGGUAGGUUUCACCUAGCAAAUGCAGGCACCAGGCCUGGGAGGAGCGGGGAAACCGCAUACAAUGAAGUCAUAACCAAACAAGCUGGUUAAAAAAAAAAACUAAAUUAAUUCUUCGAAAAUUUCAUGCAUUGUAUUUUGGACAUUUUCAUUCCUUUCCCAACUUCUCCUAGAUCCACCUCCCAUUCUAUAACCACCUCGCUUUGUGUCUUCCUCCCUCCAUCCACCAUCCAGUUUUAUGAGUGUAGUCUAUGCACUCUCGGGUGUGUGGCCAUCCAUUGGAGCAUGGACGACCUGCUGGGGCCACACGUCUGUCUGUCAGUCUCCCAGAGGCUUCAGAGACUGUCAUCGGCUUCUUGGUUCUGGAGCACGGGGUCUGAAUUUGCUGUGGUGGCGUAAACAUCACGCUUUGCGUGGUACAGUUUCUGCCUCCAGGUUCCUGCCCAAUUUGAGUGACUGCUUUGGCUUCCUUCUGUGACGGACUGUGAGCUGAGAUAUGUAGUCAAUUAAACCCUUUGUUCCCAGUUGUUUAUUUCAUGUUUUACUUUUAAAGCUUGUUUCUGCUUUUAAAGAUUUGUUUCACUUUUAUGGGUAUGAAUGUUUUAUGCUUGUAUGUUUGUCAGAACACCAUUUUCAGGUCUGGAGUCCACUGAGGUCAGAAGGGGGCACUGGAUGUCCUGGAACUGGAAUUAUGGAUGCUUGAAAGCCCCUGACUGGGUGCUGGGAGCUGGACCCUGGUCCUCUGCAAGAACAAGACGUGUUCUUAGGUGCUGAGAACCGGGUUCCUUUGGCUCAGUGUUUUAAUCACAGUAAAUUAAGACAGAAGACAAGAAAAUACACGGUAUUCUGUGUUGCACGAUUAAUAAAAACCCAGAGACAGAAAUUGGAGUUCAACCUGAAGG